rnacentral:lncRNA from 1 species
GCCCCCUCUUCAUGGCCGAGAUAGCCAUGUCUUCGUUGAGGUCCCGGACCUCAAGUGUGGUCACGUUGAAUCGGGUCACAAAGUAUCAGAGUGUCUUAUUUUCUCCCUGCUUGAGAGAGAAAAGACUGUCCGAGGUUCGUGACGGCUUCCGGCUAGUGCUGAAGUGGGCCACAAAAGAAUGCUCGAGCUGUCCGAAAGAGUGGAUAC